GCGGUUGGGGGGGGCUAUACAUGCAGUAGAACGCUGAAGAGAGGAGCUUGCUCUUCUUGGAUGAGUUGCGAACGGGUGAGUAACGCGUAGGUAACCUGCCUUGUAGCGGGGGAUAACUAUUGGAAACGAUAGCUAAUACCGCAUAACAAUGGAUGACACAUGUCAUUUAUUUGAAAGGGGCAAUUGCUCCACUACAAGAUGGACCUGCGUUGUAUUAGCUAGUAGGUGAGGUAAUGGCUCACCUAGGCGACGAUACAUAGCCGACCUGAGAGGGUGAUCGGCCACACUGGGACUGAGACACGGCCCAGACUCCUACGGGAGGCAGCAGUAGGGAAUCUUCGGCAAUGGGGGCAACCCUGACCGAGCAACGCCGCGUGAGUGAAGAAGGUUUUCGGAUCGUAAAGCUCUGUUGUAAGUCAAGAACGGGUGUGAGAGUGGAAAGUUCACACUGUGACGGUAGCUUACCAGAAAGGGACGGCUAACUACGUGCCAGCAGCCGCGGUAAUACGUAGGUCCCGAGCGUUGUCCGGAUUUAUUGGGCGUAAAGCGAGCGCAGGCGGUUUGAUAAGUCUGAAGUUAAAGGCUGUGGCUCAACCAUAGUUCGCUUUGGAAACUGUCAAACUUGAGUGCAGAAGGGGAGAGUGGAAUUCCAUGUGUAGCGGUGAAAUGCGUAGAUAUAUGGAGGAACACCGGUGGCGAAAGCGGCUCUCUGGUCUGUAACUGACGCUGAGGCUCGAAAGCGUGGGGAGCGAACAGGAUUAGAUACCCUGGUAGUCCACGCCGUAAACGAUGAGUGCUAGGUGUUGGAUCCUUUCCGGGAUUCAGUGCCGCAGCUAACGCAUUAAGCACUCCGCCUGGGGAGUACGACCGCAAGGUUGAAACUCAAAGGAAUUGACGGGGGCCCGCACAAGCGGUGGAGCAUGUGGUUUAAUUCGAAGCAACGCGAAGAACCUUACCAGGUCUUGACAUCCCGAUGCUAUUUCUAGAGAUAGAAAGUUACUUCGGUACAUCGGUGACAGGUGGUGCAUGGUUGUCGUCAGCUCGUGUCGUGAGAUGUUGGGUUAAGUCCCGCAACGAGCGCAACCCCUAUUGUUAGUUGCCAUCAUUCAGUUGGGCACUCUAGCGAGACUGCCGGUAAUAAACCGGAGGAAGGUGGGGAUGACGUCAAAUCAUCAUGCCCCUUAUGACCUGGGCUACACACGUGCUACAAUGGUUGGUACAACGAGUUGCGAGUCGGUGACGGCGAGCUAAUCUCUUAAAGCCAAUCUCAGUUCGGAUUGUAGGCUGCAACUCGCCUACAUGAAGUCGGAAUCGCUAGUAAUCGCGGAUCAGCACGCCGCGGUGAAUACGUUCCCGGGCCUUGUACACACCGCCCGUCACACCACGAGAGUUUGUAACACCCGAAGUCGGUGAGGUAACCUUUUGGAGCCAGCCGCCUAAGGGGGACCAAAGG
rnacentral:rRNA from 1 species